GGUCGACUGGUGUAGUGGUUAUCACGUCUCGUUCACAAAGAUGAAUAGAUAGGUUUUACCUACCGAGAAGGUGCCAGGUUCGAUCCCUAGGUCGAUCA